rnacentral:misc_RNA from 1 species
GCAAACUUGGUCAUUUAGAGGAAGUAAAAGUCGUAACAAGGUUUCCGUAGGUGAACCUGCGGAAGGAUCAUUAUUGAAUAAAACUUGGUUUGGGUUGUUGCUAGUUCUUAGGGACAUGUGCACGCCUUGCACCAUUUCCACCUGUGCACCUUGUGUAGAUUUGGAAGAACACAAACUCUCAUAGAGUGGUGAUAUCUAUCUCUAUGGAUUGAGAAUUGCAGCUUAAUUGAUGCUUUUUUUGCGUUUUCCAGUCUAUGUUUCUUUUUACACACAAACUCUGAAUGAAAUUUAGAAUGUAAUAAAUGAGGCACUAGUUGUUCUUAUUAUAAACUGAAAUACAACUUUCAACAACGGAUCUCUUGGCUCUCGCAUCGAUGAAGAACGCAGC